GGACAGUUAGCUCAGUCAGUUGAGCAUGAUGUUAACAACGCUAAGGUCGUGGGUUUGAUUCCCGUUUGGUCCC
rnacentral:tRNA from 1 species